rnacentral:rRNA from 1 species
GCCUACGGCCACGCCACCCUGAACAAGCCCGAUCCCGUCCGAUCUCGGAAGCUAAGUAGAGUCGGGCUUGGUUAGUACUUGGAUGGGAGACCACCUAGGAAGACCAGGUGCUGUAGGCA